ACUACGGGAGGCAGCAGUGAGGAAUAUUGGUCAAUGGCCGGAAGGCUGAACCAGCCAUGCCGCGUGAAGGGCAGCGGCCUAAGGGCGUUAAACUUCUUUUGUGCGGGAGCAAGAAUGGGCACGUGUGGCCAGACGAGAGUACCGUACGAAUAAGCAGCGGCGAACUCCGGGCCAGAAGCCGCGGUAAUACGGAGGAUGCGAGCGUUAUCCGGAUUGAUUGGGGUUAAAGGGGGCGGAGGUGGUUACUUAAGUCAGCGGUGAAGGUUUGUGGGUCAACCCUAAAAUUGCCGUUGAAACUGGGUGACUUGAGUAUAUUUGCGGUAGGCGGAAUGCGUGGUGUAGCGGUGAAAUGCAUAGCUAUCACGCAGAACUCCGAUUGCGCCGGCAGCUUACUAAACUAUAACUGACACUGAAGCACGAAAGCGUGGGGAUCAAACAGGAUUAGAUACCCCAGUAGUC
rnacentral:rRNA from 1 species